UACCCGAUGGUGUAACGGCAACACAAGAGGUUUUGGUCCUCUCGUUCCUGGUUCGAAUCCAGGUCGGGUAACCA
rnacentral:tRNA from 1 species